rnacentral:lncRNA from 1 species
CUGCACCCUAUAAGGCAAUUGACACACUAUUCUGCAUUCUUGCAUGAAAAGAGUAGAGUAACUACCUAAAUAGAUUAGUGAAAAACCAUCAAAUGGAAGAGUAAGCCAUCUACUAGGUGUGAGUGAAAACUUUUGUCCACAUUUUGUUUGCAUCAGUCGUACUACAUUGUAUAAUUCACUUGUGCAUGCACGUCUUAGGCUUCUAGAUCUAUUAGGAAUUUUGCAACAUUCUUUCUAACUUGCAGGGACUCGAUUAAAGAAGAUCCAAACUCUGAUGCUUAGCUUGGUAGAGAAAGUUUGAUUGUGAGUGAUAAACAUGAAAGUUAUUGAAGCAAGAUGAGUC